AGCUUCAGCAGCUUUUCAAACUAUAUUUCGUAAAGUUCCAAUAAUUAACUACAAUAGAAUUCACACAAAUAUAAGUGAGUCACCAUUAAUUUUUAUUUUUUUUCAAAUUAGUGGUAGCUUUGAUAAAUGUAUGAGUAUUAUGAGACUUGUAAUUCUAUGUAUGCAGGACCCUUCAACUUUGGUCGUCCUAGAAAACUUGGAUGUUUGUACACUAGGUGUUGUCAAACUGACAGCGACUGAUUGGUGCAAGUUGUGGCCCCAGGUGUGUCACGGAUUCCUGGCCUUGUUCCCAUGGCAUGUGUAUUCCUUAAUUACUAAAGUAAAUUUGUACUAAGGUUCGUACAAAAUACUAGAAUAAAAUUUGUACUGAAGUUGAGGUCGCAAAUAAUCAUUAUGAUUAUGUAGAUAUAUCAACUUCAAGAACCUAUGAUGUGGUAAUGUAUUUUUAAAUAUUUCUCCUAAUUUUGAGUUGUUUUUUCUUGGAUAGCUGUAUAUUAUGUUGGGUGUGUUUGGGAUUUAUAUAAAAUUAUCACG
rnacentral:lncRNA from 1 species